AAAUUGAAGAGUUUGAUCAUGGCUCAGAUUGAACGCUGGCGGCAGGCCUAACACAUGCAAGUCGAACGGUAACAGGAAGCAGCUUGCUGCUUUGCUGACGAGUGGCGGACGGGUGAGUAAUGUCUGGGAAACUGCCUGAUGGAGGGGGAUAACUACUGGAAACGGUGGCUAAUACCGCAUAACGUCGCAAGACCAAAGAGGGGGACCUUCGGGCCUCUUGCCAUCAGAUGUGCCCAGAUGGGAUUAGCUUGUUGGUGAGGUAACGGCUCACCAAGGCGACGAUCCCUAGCUGGUCUGAGAGGAUGACCAGCCACACUGGAACUGAGACACGGUCCAGACUCCUACGGGAGGCAGCAGUGGGGAAUAUUGCACAAUGGGCGCAAGCCUGAUGCAGCCAUGCCGCGUGUAUGAAGAAGGCCUUCGGGUUGUAAAGUACUUUCAGCGGGGAGGAAGGUGUUGUGGUUAAUAACCGCAGCAAUUGACGUUACCCGCAGAAGAAGCACCGGCUAACUCCGUGCCAGCAGC
rnacentral:rRNA from 1 species